AAGGAGAUCAAUGUCAUCUGAGUAGUCCAGCUUCUCUUAGACUGAGGUCAGUGUAGCAAGGAGAUCAAUGUCAUCUGAGUAGUCCAGCUUCUCUUAGACUGAGGUCAGUGUAGCAAGGAGAUCAAUGUCAUCUGAGUAGUCCAGCUUCUCUUAGACUGAGGUCAGUGUAGCAAGGAGAUCAAUGCCAUCUGAGUAGUCCAGCUUCUCUUAGACUGAGGUAAGUGUAGCAAGGAGAUCAAUCUCAUCUGAGUAGUCCAGCUUCUCUUAGACUGAGGUCAGUGUAGCAAGGAGAUGAAUGUCAUCUGAGUAGUCCAGCUUCUCUUAGACUGAGGUCAGUGUAGCAAGGAGAUGAAUGUCAUCUGAGUAGUCCAGCUUCUCUUAGACUGAGGUCAGUGUAGCAAGGAGAUCAAUGUCAUCUGAGUAGUCCAGCUUCUCUUAGACUGAGGUCAGUGUAGCAAGGAGAUCAAUGUCAUCUGAGUAGUCCAGCUUCUCUUAGACUGAGGUCAGUGUAGCAAGGAGAUGAAUGUCAUCUGAGUAGUCCAGCUUCUCUUAGACUGAGGUCAGUGUAGCAAGGAGAUGAAUGUCAUCUGAGUAGUCCAGCUUCUCUUAGACUGAGGUCAGUGUAGCAAGGAGAUCAAUGUCAUCUGAGUAGUCCAGCUUCUCUUAGACUGAGGUCAGUGUAGCAAGGAGAUCAAUGUCAUCUGAGUAGUCCAGCUUCUCUUAGACUGAGGUCAGUGUAGCAAGGAGAUCAAUGUCAUCUGAGUAGUCCAGCUUCUCUUAGACUGAGGUCAGUGUAGCAAGGAGAUCAAUGUCAUCUGAGUAGUCCAGCUUCUCUUAGACUGAGGUCAGUGUAGCAAGGAGAUCAAUGUCAUCUGAGUAGUCCAGUUUUUUCAGACUGGGGUCAGUGUCCACUGCAAACCUUGUCUUUUUUCUCCUGUGACAUUCCGUUUGAUUGAAUAACACAUGCAACAAGA